rnacentral:rRNA from 1 species
UCAGCCGCCGCGGUAAAACCAGCACCUCGAGCGGUCAGGAGGUUUAUUGGGCCUAAAGCAUCCGUAGCCGGUUGUUUAAGUUUUCGGUUAAAUCUAUGCGCUUAACGUAUAGGCUGCCGAAAAUACUGGACAGCUAGGGAGUGGGAGAGGUACACGGUACUCAAUAGGAAGGGGUAAAAUCCUUUGAUCUGUUGAUGACCACCUGUGGCGAAGGCGGUGUACCAGAACACGUUCGACGGUGAGGGAUGAAAGCUGGGGGAGCAAACCGGAUUAGAUACCCGGGUAGUCUCAGCUGUAAACGAUGCAAACUCGGUGAUGCAUUGGCUUGUGGCCAAUGCAGUGCCGCAGGGAAGCCGUUAAGUUUGCCGCCUGGGAAGUACGUACGCAAGUAUGAAACUUAAAGGAAUUGGCGGGGGAGCACA